GGAACAUGUGCCAGCUGCACACAGAAUGAUUCAUCUGUUUCUUCGUUCUGGCUGGGUGGUCUGCUAUGUCAUUCUUGUUGGCUUUCCCCCUGAUUUUUACUCAAAGGCACUCAACCUUAUAAUUGCCAGAUCCUAGCUCUACAAUAUCAAAACACUUCUUAAUGUAGAGAGCCACCUCACUGCCCCUCCUUCCUUGCCUAUCCCGUCCAAAGGACUUAUAGCCCUCCACUGCAGCACUCCUAUCAUGAGAGUGAUUCCACCAUGCUUUGGUGAUGGCAACUAAGUCAUGGUUUUCCUGCUGCAUGAUGGCUUCUUGUUCUAGUGCUCAGUCACCAGCACCGUAAAUACGUUCUGUUUUAAUCCUAUUGCCUCCAGUCCCACCAGUGGACACCACUAAAAGGGGCUUGGCUCUGUUCUCUUUACACUCACUCUUCAGGAAUUUAUAUGUAUUAAUCAGAUCUGCCUUGAGUAUUCCCAGGUUGAAUAGUUCCAUCUCUUUAAACCUUUACUUACAGGAAAGAUGCUUCAGUCCUUUCAUCACCUUUGUAGCCCUUUGUUGGACUGUCUCCAGUAGUUUUGUACUUCCCUUGUGCUUAGCACAGUGCUCCUGAUGUGGCCUGAGCAGGGCUUAGCAGAGCCAUACCAAGACAGGAUAAUCUUUCAUCCUUACAAGAACUACAUUCAAAAUGCUUUAACAAUUGUCCUAACCUAAGAAAUAACCUUUAACAUUACAUGUUCACUCUUGAAACAAUUACAGUAAUUCUAUGUAAUUACAUAAUUUAAAAUAAUGACACCUAUUUUCCAGAGUGUUUUAAGCAAAAUAACAGCAUUUAUUGAUUAUUUGAGUGCUAAAAUUCCACUCAAAGCAAUCAUAUUUCCUAUCUGUAUUUUUUAACUAUAUUGAAGGAAAUCAUUCUUUUCUUUUUUUUUCCUACAGAAGUCAGGUCACAGUUAUGUUGGUAGUUAAUCAUUCUUUUCAGGUGAUGAGACCAUUCAGAAGAUCCAGAUAUUUUGCAUCAACAGCUAAUGCCAUCACAAAGACUUGAGUAGUUCCUUGGAGAAAUGGUUAGUACUCUAGACCCUCAAUCCAGGGUUUGGAUUUCAAAUGUCUAAUUUCAAAUCUCAUUGGAAUUUCAGGAUUUUUUAUGCUGCCCUCUAGAGGAACCUCGAGACACCAGAGAAAUGGGCUGACAGGAUCCCCAUGAAAUUCAGCAAAGAGCCAAGUCUUGCACCUGGGAGAGAAAGGACAAGUAGCACAACAAAAAGGUUUUUAGAAUUCAGAAAGUCUUGUCAAAACAGAAUACCAGAGUAACAAGCAGCUUCUAUACCAUGAGCUACUAAUAGAAUUCACAAAUUACCUCAAAGAAAACAUUUCAGAAGUCAGAAGUAUUACGUUUAUUUACUUGAAGACUUGUAAAUAACAAAUGUUGUAUUUAGCAAGCAGACCAAUAAAGUGCCAUUUCUUU
ensembl:lncRNA